rnacentral:lncRNA from 1 species
UUUUUACACAAAAUUUUUUUAAUAAUGAACAUAACUGAGUCUGAAUUUCUAGGGUAAGUGAAAACUAUGAUACAAUAUGACGCGGUAUGAUAUGGUGAUAUGAUGUAUGCUGGGUAGCAAAGAGAUUCCAGCUUAACGCCCUGAUGCUAGGUCCUUGACAACUUUCUUCUCGAUGCUGAAAUUUCCUGUACUCGAGGCUCCUGAGCUUAUAAUGUAAGAAGAUUCUCCAAGCAAGCUCUCCAACUCUUCAGGAUUUUGUUGCGUCCAUGGGUGUUGCAUUACCUUAACCAGCCUAUCGAGCUUCUCCGCAACUUUCUUCAUGGAUGGUCUAUCCUCACCACACAUUGCCAAGCAUUGCUUUGCUAAAUCUACAACUUCUUCGAGAAACUCCAUGUUCUCUUCAUUGCUAAUUUGAUCGUCCAAUAUAUUCUCAAGCUUGUUCUCCUUCAUAGCUGAGAGAAACCUCAUUGACAAACUUUUCUCAUUUCCAGGAGCAUCAAGGUUGAAAACGUUCUUCCUUGUGAGCAGUUCUAGAAGAACAACUCCAAAGCUGUAAACGUCACUCUUAUCUGUUAAUUCACAUGUUUGCAUAUACUCUGGAUCAAGGUAACCCCAAGUCCCUUGGACUAGCGUGACAAGCUGUGACUUGUCUAGUGGAGCUAAGAUGGAAGCACCAAAGUCGGAGACUUUUGCCAUGAAGUUAACAUCGAGGAGGAUGUUGGAGGACUUGACAUCACCAUGGAUGAUGGGUGGUGAAGCGUAGGAGUGGAGGUAGGCUAGUGCCUCAGCUGAUUCAUGGGCGAUCCGUAGACGAGUAACUAGAGAAAUGUGUUGGCCAUGGUUGCCAUGGAUGAGAUUGGAUAGCGUUCCAUUUGGGAUAAAUUCAUAUACUAGCAUAGGAACUUGUACUUCAAGGCAACAUCCUAAUAGUUUAACAAUGUUUAUGUGGUUUAUUUAGGAUAGGAUUAGCAUUUCUUUACCAAAUUCUUUCUUGUGUUGCUCAUCCAUUGUCAUGCAUUUCUUGACAGCUAUUUUAGUGUUGUCCUUGAGAAGUCCCUUGUAAACAGUGCCAUGACCACCAUGGCCAAGAAUUUGGUUUUUGUCAAACUUGUUUGUAGCAUGCUGCAACUCUGCUUCUGAGAAAAUUGUAAAUGAUUUCCUUUCAUUUGAAUUCAUCUCUUGAAACAGCAGUAGACCACCGUGUAGCUUAAAAUAUUUCUGCUUGAUGUGUUGCAGCUUUCUUCUCUCGCGGAUCAAGUACGAACAAGUUGCCAUGAUCACAAGUAUGACAAAUCCAACACUUGCCCCUGGUUGCCGAAUAUAAAUUUGUCAGCCAAUAACAAUACUAGGACAAACGACGACUUGACUUAGAAAAGCAAGCGUUGUAGUACGUACCAAUGCACUAAUAAGAUAAUCAAUAUGUAAAUAUAUAUAUAUUAGCAAAGAAUAUCUACUGCUAGUUGUAGUACGUACCUACAACAGGCAUCACCCAAGCUUGGGACUUCUGAAUCUUCUGAUCUGGAACACAGACACCCCGAGCCAGCUCAUUUUGUCCUUGAGGGCAAGAACAUUUGUAACUCCCGAUUGUAUUUUCACAAAUUCCAGCGCAUGGAUAAGUAGUGUUAUCAAGACAUUCAUUGAUAUCUGAAACAAAGCAAACUUUCGUGAAUAUAAGUUCUUAUUGUAUACUUUGCUGAAUAGAGAGAGGGAGAGAGAGAGAGAGACAGAGAGACCUCUGCAUCCAAGAAGACCGUCCUUGACGUAAGGAUUGCCAUCGAACCCCUUGGAGCACUUGCAGCGAUAACCUCUCCCAUUCGUUGAAUUGAGGCAUUCGCUAUUGUUGCUAACACAAGCAUAUGAACUCAUGUUCGUUUUCGCUUCCUCGCAUGUCUCCCAUGUAAUUAUCCAGUCCAUCACGGCCGGAACAGUCCCGUUGUAGUCAUCCCAGAAGUUUGUUGAGGGAAUGUAAGUGGUGCUAUAGUUCAAAACUAGAAGUCCAGCCACUCACUUACACAGCCUUUUCCAUCACUACCACGUAGCCACAACUGCUGUAGCUGAUUUCUGAGGAGUUAUAGUCUUUAUUGAAGUAAGCCUCAAGAUAACCCAGGUCUGGCGGGACAUCCACCGAACAACAGCCAGCGCCAGAGCAAGAACCAUUUUUUGGUUGAUCGGAGCAUGUGGACAAGCAACCUAUGACAUACUGCAUAAGUCACAGAUGUUAAUUUGUAUCUAUGACGUUAAAUUAAAUGAGAUUAUGUAACGAUCAGUACUGAGCGCCUAGUAUAUUAAUAUAAGCAAAAUGUCGUCAAAGCAUAAAUAUGAGGAGAUACUUACGGAAACACCUCUCAUGUAGGCCAUUGUAUUGCAACCGAUGAUGAAAAUCUUGUUAUCCUCGUAUGAGAACCUGAAGGGCAUGUAGGUGAAGUUUUGGAAAUCCACCCAUUCCUUCAUUUUGCUCGAGGCCGAGUCAUAGCACUACCAAGAGAUCCGCAUCUUCAUCCAGGCUUUGGCAUCGCGCACAGAGAUUUUCGUCACCUCAAACGACCCCUUGAAAGGCCUCUUGGUGCCGUUGACAGGCUUGCAGAUGAUGUUGAAGCCAUGGUGGAUUGCGCAGUGAUCGCCGAUGCCGAAGGGGAACGGGAUGUCGACGUCCCCGCACCUCGUCUGGCAGCCUGGGUGUCCAGCCACGGGGACGUCGGCGGCUACCAUCCCGAUGGCUGAAACGCAGAUCAGAAGAAUGGUGGAGGGAAGAGGCUUAGUCAUUGCGUGUGUGUGUGGAGACUGGAGGAGACAGGAGAGUGUGUGCUUUGCUGGGGCGUGACGCGGUGUGUGUUAAAUAGAGAUAUCCGCUUUACUGUCCCUGGGCAGCUUGCCCUGCAGUAUGUGAUUAAUAAAAGCUGGUGGUUGAUUAUUGAUCAUUCCCGAUAUGAUACUUUCGUCCAUGUAUAUAAAUAAUUUUACCCUUUUAUUUUUUUGGGAUUUUGUAAUCUUAAGAUAGUAUUUUAUUUUCCCAUCUAUCAACUUGUGUAAUAGUUUAUUCUUUACCUAUCAACUUUUGUCUUAUUUUAUCCUUCCACCUAUCACCUUUUAUACUAUGGCAUAUCCUUUUGCUACUUCUUUAAAAAAAAUUUAAAUGACAUAAUUCCUUAUAGCUAGGCACACGCACGAGGAAUUAAAGUCUGUUGUCAUGUACUCUCCAUUCUAAAAUAUAUUUUUUUAACAGAAACCACACGAGAUUACGCUUUUUCAUUAAAUAUAGCAGGAGAAAAAUACAACCCCUAAAGGCAAACAUUCUAAAAUAUAUUAAACUAGUAUUAGAUUUGAUAUAAUUUAAUUCUAUAAAUCUAAACUAGCAUGAUAGUAUCAUUAUAUUUUCUCUCAUAUAAUAGCAUAUAUAUUUUCUUAUUAUAUUAUUCAAAUAUAUUAAAAUAAUAACAUAAUUUUAAAUUUUGCAAUAACUUUACGAAACUACUAAUGUUAAUGUGUAAUAUUCAUAUAGUAUUUUAUAUAUGUGUUAGUUCUUAAUUAUUUUUAAUAUCAAAUUUUAAUUAUUUGUAAAUUAUAUAUAUUCCUACAUUGACUCUAGACUCGUCUAUUAAUAUUUCUUUUUUUUAAUUUUAAAUUUUCUGUAAAUUGUAUUUCUAUAUAUAGACUCUAGGCUCUUCUUCCAAUAUUAUUUAUUUUUAUUUCUGAUUUUUUAUUAUUUCUAAUUGUAUUUCUAUGUGGACUCUAUACUCAUCUUUUAAUAUUCUUUAAUUUUGAAUUUUGAAUUUCAGUUACUUCUAAAUUGUAUUCCUAUAUUAACUUUAAACUCUUCUUCCCAUGUUUUUCUUAAUUUCAAAUUUUAGUUAUUUGUAAAUUAUAUUUUUAUACGGACUCUAAACUCUACUUUAAUUUUAUUAUGUUUAUUUCAAAUUUUAGUUAGUUUUAAAUUCCUAUAUGGACUCUAUACUCUACUUCUAAUAUUCCUUAUUUUUUAAUUCCGAAUUUCUUUUUUUUUCUUAAUUGUAUUUCUAUAUGGAUUCUAUACUCUACUUCUAAUAUUCCUUAUUUUUAAUUCCGAAUUUCUAUUAUUUCCUAAUUGUAUUUCUAUAUGAACUCUAUACUCUACUUCUAAUAUUCCUUAUUUUUUAUUCCGAAUUUCAGUUAUUUCCUAAUUGUAUUUCUAUAUGGACUCUAGUCUCCUAUUCUAAUAUUCUUUAUUUUUAAAUUCCGAAUUUCAACUAUUUCUAAAUUUUAUUUCUAUAUGGACUCUAGUAUCCUCUUCUAAUAUUCAUUAUUUUUUAAUUCUGAAUUUCAGCUAUUUCUAAAUUAUAUUUAUAUAUGGACACUGUUUUUUCUUUUUCUUUGAUUAAUGUGAGAAUUUCUAGACCAUGAGAGCGAACGUGGAGACUCAUUUUUCUAUGCCUUUAAUAAUAUAAUAGAUAGGUUCUUGUUCAAUUUCAUACUACUAAAAUAUGUCUUUUAUCCCGAUUGCUAUAUUUUAUAAUACGUGGCGUCUAAAGGAUUCAGGAUGGUCCAUCAACGAAAUACUCGCCCUCGCCCAUGCACGCUUUACUCAGUCAGCCGGUCAGCUUAGUAUAUGUCGCUCUAAUUGGCUGGAUUAACUCUAGGGUCCCAGGGAGACUUGCCAAGUCAAUGCCGCUGUUGUUGAGCUCAGAGCAUAUCAGAGCAACUAGCUAGCUGGAGUAGCUUCCAAGAGGUACAGUAGCAGUCGGUCCACGAUUGUGGAGACUGAUGAAUGAGUCCAAGUCUUGUGUGACUGAGACAGUGAGACGUGUGAUUCCCCCGGAACAAGUUGGAGGUUGGAGUAGACAAGUGUUGCACCAGCUAAAAAGACUAUUUUUUGUCUUGCUCGUAUUAGGGCCUGAUUAGUUUAAAAAAAAAUUUUCACGCUGUUAUAUCGAAUAUUUGGAUACAUUUAUAGAGUAUUAAAUGUAAAAAAAAAAUAAUUACACAGUUCGCCAGGAGAUUGCGAGACGAAUCUUUCAAGCCUAAUUGCACUAUAAUUUGACAAUAUGGUACUAUAUUAAAUAUUACUAAUGACAGAAUAAUUAGGCUUAACAAAUUCGUCUCGCAGUUUCCUGGUGGAAUCUAUAAUUUAUUUUGUUAUUAGAUUACGUUUAAUACUUUAAAUGUCUGUCCGUAUAUCUGAUGUGACAUGUAGGGCAAAUUUUUUUUCUAACUAAACAAGCCCUUAAUCCUCUGUCUAGCCAUCCCGUUGAUAUAUAUAUUUUUCUAAACUUAAGCCCUUAAACAAGCCCUUAACUCCGGAUCCCAAACUUUUUUUUCUAUUUUUCUAGAGCAAAGUACACGGCCGGUCCUUAAAGUUGGAACGAGGUGUCACUUAGGUCCAUGAUCUAGGAAAAUCGUCAUUCGGGUCCGCGGUCUUGUUUAAGUGAAUCAUUUAGGUCCAAAGCGCCUUUGAUUGGAUUGACUGGCUUACGUGACCGUCCACGGUGGCAGCAUGUUUGCAUUUUAGCCCCCCUCCCAUCUUGGCUCCCCCUGUCUCUAUCUCAUUUCUCUAUCUCCACAUGUUGUCAGUUGCUGACCACCACGCGUGCAUGCAUGAGCCACUAGCUGCACCCGCCGAACACCCCGGAGCCGUCGCCUGCACCCGCGUUGUGCGUGUCCUGGGAGAAACCGAGCACGGUCUGAGCUUGUUGUUGCUCCUGCUGUGGCGGUGGCGGCAUGCGGAACUCGCCGAGAUGGAACCCCACGGCUGCAUACUCCGCCGGCAUCCCUAGCGGCCCCAUCUGAGGCAGAGGAACGUAGCAGCCAAUGCUCCUCAGCAACUCCAUCGCCGAGAACACGCACCCACGCUGCCCCUGCCACCAACGCCGUUCGCCACCGCCAUGUUGCCUCCGGGGUUGCACAUGUUGCUACUCUCCAAGCUCGGGAACGCUGUGAACUCCGGCGACUGCAGGGCGCGGCCGUGGUGAUGCGGGAACGCCAGGUUGAGGUCCUACGCGCCCUUGUGCAUCGACUUCAGGUUCUUAGCCGCCAGCCCCACGGGGACCGAGCUAGACACCGUCGCGGAGGUGGAGGCCGACGCGGCCGCUGAUGACACCAUGAGGACGACGAACGCUUGUUCUCCCUUACCGUUGCCGCCGUACGCGCCUCCCUCAUCGUCGUUGUCGUCCUCGCGGCCGCCGCCACAUCUACACCGCCACCCAAUCGCCGUUGCAAUCGCUAACCCUAGAAAUCACACAGGAGGAGCCGAGGAGGAUUUGGGGGAGAAUGGUUGGAUCGUAUAUGGGAGAGCCAAGAUGCGGGGGGCUAAAAUGCAAAUAUGCUAUCACCGUGGACGGCCACGUAAGCCAGUCAACCUGGUCAAAGGCGCUUUGGACCUAAAUGAUUCACUUAAACAAGAUCACGGACCCAAAUGACGAUUUUCCUAGAUUAUGGACCUAAGUGACACAUCGCUCCAACUUUAAGGACCGGCCGUGUACUUUACUCAUUUUUCUAUAAGUAAAUUGCGACGGAUGGAUAUGAUUUAGAACAACAACUUGAAAUUCGAACUAACUGGUGCAGUAACUUUCUUGGUUUGUGACAGUUUGUGUGGGUUUUUAAUCCAAAUGAGUGCCACGUCGACAAUCCAGUUAUUAUAGCUAGAGAGUGUGCUCCCAUGGGAAAGGAAAAAGUACACCGAAGGUCCCUCAACUUAUUAUCGGGAUAAAAAACGUCCUCGAACCGCAAAACCAGAUAUGCCCAAUUUUAAUCGUUCGUCUUAUUUAAAAAAACUUUUAAAAAAAUUUAAAAACAUAAGUCAGUAAUGAGUAAAGUAUUCUUCAUGUUUUAUCAUCUCAUAACAACAAAAAUACUAAUUAUAAAAAAAUUUCAAAUAAUACGAACGAUCAAAGUUAGGCAAAAAAAACUUAUCGUUGUACUUAAAAUAGGACAUAAAAUAGGGCAGAGGGAAUAAGAUCUCAGAAAGUGUAUAUUUGAUCAUAAAUGAAGUAUAUCCCAAGAAUUAUGGACGACGACUGACUCCCGGGUCUUUACGUCGAAAAGAAAGAGUGCAUAUACCUUUUUUUUUUUCAAAAUGUUUUUCCUCCAUCGUAAUCGAUCUCCAGCUCUAUUAACUACACAUAGCAACGGAAGACUUCGAACGACUGACGUAACUUGGCAGUCAUGCGUGAUAGCAGCAUUGAUAAGUGAAUAAACUUGAUCCGUUAAAUUUGUGUGGCUGAUAGUCUAACUGUACCAAUCGGCCACCGUUCACAUCACAUUGGCCCUGCUUUAAUCCAAGAAAUUGAGUAAAAACAGGCUGCGUUCACCUGAGAAAACCUGGCCUCGUCCAUAUCACACAAUUUCUCGGCGACCUGGCGAGCGAUGUUUAUGGGUCUUGGGUACAAUUGGGGGGCUUCACAGGGUCGGUCUUCUCUAAUGACAGUUCUGGUUCUCUUCGCUCCGCUCAGUAUCAUGGAAGACUUGACUGUUUCACAGCCCACAGGGUCUUGUAACUUCGAACGGUGAAUUCCGCGUGAUGCUCCGUUGCGUGCAAAACUACAAAGGUACAUUUUCCAUUGCGAGCUGUAGCUCUAUUAUUUUCGGUUAAGAUUCAGAUUUUACUGUAUUAUGUGCCUUUCUAUUUAGAAGUUACUUUAAAAUAUCAAAUAUAUUUAUCAAGUUUGUAAUAAUUAAAACUUAGUUAAUGACUUUCUCGUUUUGUGCGUGUCAACUUAAUUUUUAUUUUCAUCCGCUUCAAACACAGCUUUUAUAAUUAAAACACAGCAUUGACAACUUAAUUUUUACAUAUCGAAUUGCUGAAAAUGUCCGGACCAAACGCAGCUUUUGUCAAUGCGCAACCGAGUACGAUGAGACAACAUUUUUUGGGUUUAGAAGUUGGUUAGGAUGGGUUGCAAGAUGCAUGGGUCAGCAUAUCUUGUAAGGUUUGGUCAAGAAAAUGCUGAAACCAAGUGUACCAUAGGCAAUUACCACACGGUAGACAGAAUCACAUAAAUCGGUGGGGAAAAUAGUACAGUGAUAGAACAUUAACUUGACUUCGUAUGAUUGCUUCUUAUUCUCAUAUAUGAUGAAACACAGUCCCAUAAAGACUAAAGGUGUACACAAACAAUAUUUUUUUAUUUUUACACAAAAAAUAAUUAAUAAUGAACAUAACUGAGUCUGAAUUUCUAGGGUAAGUGAAAACUAUGAUACAAUACGACGCGGUACGACAUGGUGAUAUGAUGUAUGCUGGGUGGCAAAGAGAUUCCAGCUUAACGCCCUGAUGCUAGGUCCUUGACAACUUUCUUCUCGAUGCUGAAAUUUCUUGUACUCAAGGCUCCUGAGCUUAUAAUGUAAGAAGAUUCUCCAAGCAAGCUCUCCAAUUCUUC